rnacentral:rRNA from 1 species
GAUGAACGCUGGCGGCGUGCCUAAUACAUGCAAGUCGAGCGAACGGACGAGGAGCUUGCUUCUCUGAUGUUAGCGGCGGACGGGUAAGUAACACGUGGAUAACCUACCUAUAAGACUGGGAUAACUUCGGGAAACCGGAGCUAAUACCGGAUAAUAUUUUGAACCGCAUGGUUCAAUAGUGAAAGACGGUCUUGCUGUCACUUAUAGAUGGAUCCGCGCCGCAUUAGCUAGUUGGUAAGGUAACGGCUUACCAAGGCAACGAUGCAUAGCCGACCUGAGAGGGUGAUCGGCCACACUGGAACUGAGACACGGUCCAGACUCCUACGGGAGGCAGCAGUAGGGAAUCUUCCGCAAUGGGCGAAAGCCUGACGGAGCAACGCCGCGUGAGUGAUGAAGGUCUUCGGAUCGUAAAACUCUGUUAUUAGGGAAGAACAUAUGUGUAAGUAACUGUGCACAUCUUGACGGUACCUAAUCAGAAAGCCACGGCUAACUACGUG